rnacentral:rRNA from 1 species
AGGGCACCACCAGGAGUGGAGCCUGCGGCUUAAUUUGACUCAACACGGGAAAACUCACCCGGCCCGGACACUGGAAGGAUUGACAGAUUGAGAGCUCUUUCUUGAUUCAGUGGGUGGUGGUGCAUGGCCGUUCUUAGUUGGUGGAGUGAUUUGUCUGGUUAAUUCCGAUAACGAACGAGACCCUAGCCUACUAAAUAGAUCGUCGGCCUACAAACGCCGGCGAGACUUCUUAGAGGGACAGGCGGUGAUUCAACCGCACGAAACAGAGCAAUAACAGGUCUGUGAUGCCCUUAGAUGUCCGGGGCCGCACGCGCGCUACACUGAAGUGAUCAGCGUGCUUUUUCAACCUACUCUGUCAAGAGUGGGGAACCCAAUGAACCUUCUUCGUGAUUGGGAUAGGGGAUUGUAAUUAUUCCCCUUGAACGAGGAAUUCCCAGUAAGCGCGAGUCAUAAGCUCGCGUUGAUUACGUCCCUGCCCUUUGUACACACCGCCCGUCGCUACUACCGAUUGGAUGUUUU